ACACUAUUCUAGGCAGUGGGGAUGCAACGGUGAAGCCGAGGACAAGGCCCCCAUGCGAAGGAAACAGGGAGCAGAUCUGCAGAGAUGAAAUGCCAGGGUUGGCCGGGAAUUCCAUACCCGACCUGAAUCCAUAUCUACCGGACCCCACAUCUGCCGUCCGACCCAAUGAGGGAGAUAAUAGUUGGCACCGAUGCUCUUUCCUCAUGAUCACAAAAUGGCUAUUACCGUUAUGAACGUACAUCUUUAUGCCACGAUCUCCAGGAGUAGAGAGAAGAAGAGAAAUGGAGUGGAGUGGUUAAGAGCAGUGAAUCUGAAGCCUGAUCGCUUGAGGUUGAAUCCUGGCUAGCCCAAUGACCUUGGCCAAGUUCCUAAACCUCGGGCCGCACCUGUGGCACAUGGAAAUUCUCAGGCUAGGAGUUGAAUUGGAGCUAUAGCUUCUGGCCCACAUCUGCAAUUCAUGCCAACGCCAGAUCCCUAACCCACUGAAUAAGGCCAGGGAUCGAACCUGCAGCCUCAUGGAUACUAGUUGGAUUUGUCACCGCUGAACAACAAUAGGAACUCGCAUUUUUAGACCAGGACCCACACACAGUGGUUCUCUCUUGCUCUUUGCACCUAGGGAUAACGGUGGAAUGGCCCAUGACUUCUUUAUGAGGUCAGAUACGCUUUAACAUCUUGAGCCUUUCAAAGUGCUUCCCUCAGUCUGGACUGAAGCCUGACCAACACUGGCAGAGAUGGGCCUUUUGGGAAAAUGACAGCGAAAGUCUCACGGACGCAGACUGAAAGAAGUCAAGGCUGCUUUUCUGUCCUUCCUAUCAUGUUGUCUGGCUUAGAUUUUGGUUAGGAAAUUUUAGUUAGAACCAAAAUCAGUUCUGAGUCAGUGGAUUGGGCAUUUCUGAACCUCCCAUGCCUCUGUAAAAUGUGGUUAAUAAUAGCAUCACAUUUAAAGAUUAAUUUAUACAGUGCAUUUAAGAGUGUUUAGAACCAUACGGUAAGUUCUAAACAGUAAAGAGGAAGCACUGGUUUUCCCUACACAUUAUUCCAGAAGAAAGAGGGAUGUUCUGAGAUGGAGAUGAGAGAAUGAGCUAAAGGAUGUACCACUUACCUAAGGCCAGGAGGCAAGUCCUGGAGGAUGGAACUUAGAGGGUGUUUGGCUGACCCAGCCCAUCCAUCUAACUGGGGCGGCCACAUAGUUUUGGUGAAAAGCGCGUGAGAGUGGGAUCUUUGGUAAAUGGGGACUGAGACAUCAGUCCUGAAGGGUUGCUAGAUUAGCGAACUAGUGGAUAAAGCAUGUGAUUGGAACUUGGCACAUAGUAGGGGCUGGAUAAACAGUGCCAAUAAUAAUAGCCUUCUCUUACCACAGCUGGACCCCUUCCUCAGAGUGCUCUGAAUUCAGAGCCUUCCUCAAGCUAAGGAAAUGGCAGUUUGCUUGAAUACAAUGGUCUUUUUAAGGCAGCUCAGAUGUUUAUCUUAUUCUAAUAUUUACCCUUUUGAAUAGGAUUUUCGGGUGGCUUAUUUUUUAUUGCUCUAGGGAGUGGGGUUACACAGUGUUAAGCUUAAUAUCAACCUUUAAGUGAAAAAUGGAUAAAACUGAGAGAAAACCCGCUUCUGACCCAGGGGAGAAAAAGGCUCUGGUAAAAUCUGGCCUGGAUUCUUCUCCACAUCACCUUAGGGCCAGGGAGCCCAGGGGAAUACCUGGAAGUGGUUCAGAUUGGUUUGAACAUCUAUAAAGGUUUAGCAGGAACCCUCUCCAGUCCAAUGGCCAGGAGCAUCUGGAAUGUUCUAACAUCUGAUUGCCUAUUGGCAAUGGUGAUUUAUCCUAAGCCCAGAUAAAUUGCUCUGGAUUGAACCAGAGGUCACACCUCUCACUGCCAUGUGGUCUUAGGUCUGGCCAGCCUUCCAAUUUAAGUCUAAGUUAAAUCCUUCAUCAUUAAUUUUUUUUCCAUUUUGGCUAAAAUCAUCUUCAGGAAAUAGGACUUAAUGAUAACAGUGUCUUCAAGUAAGAAGGACAAUGACCAAAUAAGCCCUGUGGGUGUAGGAAUGUGUUCAGCUAUAAAUACUUCCCCUUAGCACAGAAGACUUCACAGUUGCCUUCAGAACCACCACCCCAAAUUUUCCCUUCAGGUAAGACUCAAGAGAGCAGGUAUGUAUAUUCAGACUAUCCAAAAGUUUUGGGUGUUUUGUCUUUAUCAUCACUGUCAAACAUCGGAUAUAUUUUUACUCAGUUAAUCCUCUCUCUCAAUAACUCUAUAAAACAGGGUUUUACAGAUGAAGAAAUUGAGGCAUGAUGACGUUAGUUCAUUUUGGGAUUAAAUAGCUAUUGAGGGAGUUCCCGUCGUGGUGCAGCAGAAAUGAAUUUGACCAGGAACCAUGAGGUUGCAGGUUCAAUCCCUGGCCUCGCUUAGGGGGUUAAGGAUCCAACAUUGCCGUGAGCUGUAGUGUAGGUCGCAGACGCGGUUGCGAUCUGGUGUUGCUGUGGCUGUGGCGUAGGCCGGCAGCUAGAGCUCCAAUUAGACCUCCUAGCCUGAGAACUUCCAUAUCCGCAUUUGCAUCCUAAAAAAAAAAGACAAAAGACAAAAAAAGAAAAAUACUAUUGAGUGUCAGAGCCAAGGGUUUGAAAGAGUAUCUGCACAACUCAGAACAAUACUCCUCUUGGGGCAGUUUUUGGAAAUUAAGCACACUCUAGGUGGGUAGAAGUGGUGGGUUUAUUUCCUUCAGCAAGUUUUCACCAGGUUAGAGAGAUGGGACUGGCCAGAUGAGGUGAGGGGAGAAAGAUACUGCUUGUGUGAUUAGGAUUUAGGUUCCAGCCUGCAUUGUCUAUAAGGUACCAACUGAAAUUCUUUCGAUUUCCAACAUGCCAGGAGGCCAGGGGGACUCUCGGCCACUUCCACUCCGCCUGCACAGUUCGAUUUGUUCUAGAUGAGGGAGCCAUGCAGAGAGGGUCCAGAGAGAAAAGAUUGGAGUCGUGCCAGACAGUGGGCAUCUUUCUCCUCGGGGCCUUUCCUGGGAGCUGAAGCUGUGUGAAAAGAGAAGAUAGAUAGUAGCUGCCCAUGAGCUAAUGAGAAAAACAUCUCAAAGGGAUGCUUAGGUGUUGUAUGAGCAAGGCCCUCCUCCUCUGAACAUGAAAUUUCUCCAUUGGUGCUUAGAAAUUUCCCUUCAGCACAGAUUUGCUUAUUCUUGUCCAAUCCAUAGUUGUCUAUUGAUUCUUGUGCUAUAAACAGAAACAGUUGCCUAGGAGUGCUAUCAAUUGUGUGUUAGUUUCUGAAGGUAAAUGGUUGCAAAAGCCAACUGAGUAAACAUUACCCUUACUAGAUGCCUUAAGUCCCCUAUCUAUACAUGAUUUGGGGUAGACUGCCUUUACUUCUUAGUGUUUCAGAAGCACUGGAAAAGACUAAAUGAAGGUACAGAAGGGAUGCCUACUUGCAGAGGUCUGGAGAUUAGCUGAUUCUUUCCUUAAAGAUACUGGAGGGAUCUAGGCCUAUUUGGGGCCUAUUGGGUUGGAGGUGCCCCAAGACCUCUGGUUGGAGCUGUCCAGCACAGAGCUGUGAACAGGGGAUGCAGGCUUAGUUCAGAGCUGGGGAGAGAGAGCUGGACCACGCAGUAGGAAUCAGCCACCCCUGCAUGUAGAAGGGCCUAGACAAGAAUGAGAAGACAUGUCAUUUUCUGCUCAGUUCUGUGGUGAAGUCUUCCUGUAAACUCAUCUCUAGGGUGUGAAUGACCUCAUCAACAUCCUUCCGCCUCUGAGAGAAGAGCUGCUGGAGACUCCUGGAUGUCUGGCCCAAAGCUGGAGGCUCUGAAAGGGCUGAGAGAUGAUUUGGAAGAUACCAUUUGACUGCUUUUUACUGACGUGACCAUAUGUCUACCCGGAGAUUGGAGACCUUGGACAGCUGGAGGAUCCAAGAUAACCUCCCUCCUCCUGUCUGGAUUCGCAGAAUAAAACCUUGUCAAAACAACAAAGGAAAAGUGGCCGGACUUCAGUUUAAGGUAUAUUCUUGGAGACCUCAGUUCAAUGUGGCACCCUCAACCAGAUCUUGGUGGUGGGGAAUGGGAAUAGGAUCAGGCAAAGAUGGGCCAAAGGUGCCUUUAGGGACAUGCCCAGAUCAGCCAUACUCCGCCUGGUUAGUAGUUCCAGUGGGCAGCUGAGGAGGCCGGGAGAGAUUCUGCUUUGCUGUCCUCAGCUGCUGCUAAUGGCCGUCCUACUGUCUCUGGACAAACCAAGGGAGAGUCAGGGUGCCAGCCUGAUGUCUAAAAAAAAAACCUUCAGGGUCUGAAAUAAAUUCAAGACGUUAAAUGAUGGGCCAAUUCCCUGUGGCUAUUUUGCGGGGGUGGAGGUGGGUGAUGAGUUUAUCUUGGGAAACAAAGCCCUAACCAGUGAAAUCUUGCCAGAAAGGGUAAUGAUGCAGUCCUGUGAUGAGAUCACUCAGAACCACUCAGUAGAUGUGGAAUUCCAGGCUGACCGAACCCAGCAACUGGUUCCAUCGAGUGAGUGUUAUGUUCUGAGCAUCUCUGGGACUAUCCUGUCUGGUCAAAUGCACCCCCCUGCCCAAUCCCCCAACUUUGUGAACAAGAUGGUGCUGGAAGAAGAGGGGAUGCUGAUGCUGGACUGGUUGGGCUGGUUAGGUUGGGUCUCUGACCAAAUGGGAGGUGUCAGAAUUAGGAUUCUUUAGAGGUUUGAGCUAGAAUAUGGAUCUUUCAGAUAUGGGUUGCAGAUCUCAUGAGAAAUAAGGCAAGUUGAGUUAAAAACCGUUAGAGACAGCCACGUUCAAGUUCCAGAGGCCAAAUGUAAAGGUCCAGAAGCAGGCCUGAGGGUUGAAGUUCAGGGUCAUGGAGCCAAGACUUGAAGGAUGAGCAAUCAGGGAGGGACUGAGUAAAUGUGAGUAUGUGAAUGUGAGUGAUUGGGCUUUAACAUUUGUCUGGACUUUGUUGUGUGAAUUCAGAGGCUGGCAGGUGUGUGAUGAUGUUUGGGUCAUAGGUGGGCUGCUUGUGAACAUGUAUUGCUGAGGCCAGCUGUGCUCAGUACCUUGCCUUCUGAGGGGUCUGUUCUUUAAGGCCUGCUGGGAAGGGAGAAUCUGGGGUUGCAUUUAGAUCUUUCUAGGGUUGCAUUUACUGAAAUUAAUGGAGCAGUGAAAUAUACUGAGAGAGUUAAGGAGAAUUACUGGGACCUUAAUAAUAAAUGUGUGCUGAUGGUUCUCAGGGAAACAUUUCUGCCUCAGACCUCUGGCUUCCAAUUUCUGGUUCUCGCUUCUGAGUUCAGAUGUUUUCAAUGGGCUGUAACUUCAAAGGCAACUCAUAGGUUUAAACUGUGUUCACCUGAAUCUGGGGGAAUGCAUUUGGGAUGGGGGGAGGGGGAAUCAGAGUCACAUUUGGGUUGCAAGGAGCCUGGAGAGCUGCACAUGAACUCGCUUAGGAGUUAGGGGUGCUAAGAUGUGGAUUGGGCUCUGCCAGGUGACCAGGGACAGAUAGAUGCUUCUGGUUCUAGUGUAAUAAUCCGUCAAACCAGGGCAUUGCUGGGAAUGGAUUCUACACACCCUCUUUAAGUGUGGCAGUGUCAGGAUUGCAGGCUGCCCCUGGCUUCAGGCCAGAGAGAGGAUUUCCCUUCCUCUAAAGUAGUGUUUGAGCUCUUAUUCCACCACUUUGAGAAGUAUAGCAAUGCAGGUUUCUGGAAAAAUGAUCAACUGUUCUAAGGGACAAGGUCCUUUACUUUCUAGACCAAUCAAUACAUGAUGACAAAAUCAAUAAUUUUCCAUAAAGGUAUGUGUUUUCUGGUGAUUCAAGCUGGGGUAAAAGACAUAAUACCUUCCAUAGGCUGAAUAGCUGCUGAACUAUAUAUAGCAGCUUGUAUUCCCUGGGUUGGUAUUUACUCAACCCUCACAGCAGCUCUGGAGACAGGCACUAUCAUUCCCAUUUUGCAGAGGAGAAGCAGAGGUUUUGAGAGGCUAAGCAAUAGAAGCCUGUAUGCCUCACCCCUCUGCUAGUUUCUCUUCUCUUGGAUUCCCAAGGUCUUCAUUGCAGAGGACCCCUUUCUCAGUUAAAAAUACACUGAUGGGAAAUGCACUGUGUUUUGAAGCAAAUUCCCAACAGACUCCACAUAGUGACAAAGUCUAGUCCCUCUACCCAGCAGGAAAAACUGUGGGCACAAUGCAGUUAUGACAGCCAGACCAGGAGCUUGCUUCCUGUAUGCAUAGCCUCCUGGUGGUGGUGGAGGGGGAGAACCAUGGGUGGGGGCUGCGGGU
rnacentral:lncRNA from 9 species